rnacentral:rRNA from 1 species
ACACGUAGGGGCCUGACGUUGUUCGGAAUCAUUGGGCGUAAAGGGCGCGCAGGCGGCCGUCCAAGUCCGGUGUUAAAUGGUCGGGCUCAACCCGAUCAUGCGCUGGAAACUGGGCGGCUUGAGUCCCGUAGGGGAUGCCGGAAUUCCAGGUGUAGGGGUGAAAUCUGUAGAUAUCUGGAAGAACACCGAUGGCGAAGGCAGGCAUCUGGCCGGAGACUGACGCUGAGGCGCGAAGGCGCGGGGAGCGAACAGGUUUAGAUACCCUGGUAGUCCGCGCAGUAUACGAUGCGCACCAGGUGUCGGGCGGCAGCGCCCGGUACCGGAGCUAACGCGAUGAGUGCGCCGCCUGGGGAGUAUGCCCGCAAGGGUGAAACUCAAAUGAAUUGACGGGG